GGCAAAUCUUGUCCUUUUGAGACUUAGGGUACCACAAACUCAAUUAAACACUUGCAAAAUGCUGGUACCCAAGCCUGGUAUCUUGUGGGCACCGUCUACUCCUGGUCCAUCUACGCUUGCAGUGGCCUCAUGUUAGCCCUCAGUGGGGCUCUGCAGCCGAGUCUUCAUGGGUCGUUCUGCUUACUCCAGGGCCCCGUACUCUCCCCCUUUGGACCGAUGGGAGUUAUCCCGGUCCCCACCAAGCCUGGCCGAAAGCAGUGGGGAAGUAAUGCAUGAGGCGCAGGCUUCGACCUGCACAUGGGAGGUAGCCUUUGAGAGGGUGUUCAGCGCCAUUUGCAAACACUUCUGGAGUGACCUAUAGACACAACAGAAGCCGUCUACCCUGCCAUAGCUCAGAGCCAGAACCUUCAGACAGAGACACCCUCCCAGAUAGGAACACUUCACACCGUCCACAUACCCGGGGGAUAUGCCUCCACUCGGUGCCUCAAGGCUUCACCCUAGUUGUGAGAAGAGAGGUCUGUGGACUGUGGGACAUGUUUCCUGCUGGGGCUGGAGGGAUGAGGUGCAAUGCAACUCACAUGGAGACUCACAGACAGAUUCUCACCCUUUACUGAAGGCAAGAGAAGCCAAGGCAACUAAAACUUGACUGCCUGUUACUCCCC